rnacentral:misc_RNA from 1 species
GAUGAAGAACGUAGCGAAAUGCGAUACUUGGAGUGAAUUGCAGAAUCCCGUGAACCAUCGAGUCUUUGAACGCAAGUUGCGCCUCAAGCCAUUAGGUUGAGGGCACGUCUGCCUGGGCGUCACAUAUCGUUGCCUGAUGCCAGUUUCCUCGUGAUGGGUGACUGUGCAGGGCGAAUGAUGGCUUCCCGUGAGCAUUGUUGCCUCAUGGUUGGUUGAAAAUUGAGUCCUUGGUAGGGAGCGCCGUGAUAGAUGGUGGUUGAGUGACGAACGAGACCCAAUCAUGUGAGACCCCUACCGAAUUUGGCCUUCAUGACCCACAUGCGUCUUUGGAACGCUCAUGACGAGACCUCAGGUCAGGCGGGGCUACCCGCUGAGUUUAAGCAUAUCAAUAAGCGGAGGA